GACGAACGCUGGCGGCGUGCCUAAUACAUGCAAGUCGAACGCACUCUCGUUUAGAUUGAAGGAGCUUGCUCCUGAUUGAUAAACAUUUGAGUGAGUGGCGGACGGGUGAGUAACACGUGGGUAACCUGCCCUAAAGUGGGGGAUAACAUUUGGAAACAGAUGCUAAUACCGCAUAAAACCUAACACCGCAUGGUGUAGGGUUGAAAGAUGGUUUCGGCUAUCACUUUAGGAUGGACCCGCGGUGCAUUAGUUAGUUGGUGAGGUAAAGGCUCACCAAGACCGUGAUGCAUAGCCGACCUGAGAGGGUAAUCGGCCACACUGGGACUGAGACACGGCCCAGACUCCUACGGGAGGCAGCAGUAGGGAAUCUUCCACAAUGGACGAAAGUCUGAUGGAGCAAACGCCGCGUGAGUGAAGAAGGUUUUCGGAUCGUAAAAACUCUGUUGUUGGAGAAGAAUGUAUCUGAUAGUAACUGAUCAGGUAGUGACGGUAUCCAACCAGAAAGCCACGG
rnacentral:rRNA from 1 species